rnacentral:rRNA from 1 species
UCCGGCGGUUAUACCGGGAGUGAUCACCCGUUCCCAUCCCGAACACGGUAGUUAAGCCUCCCAGGGCCGAUGGUACUGCGCUCCUUAGGCGUGGGAGAGUAGGUCGCCGCCGAGC